AUUCUACUCCCUCCGUUGCACAAUACAUGCCUUAUAUUUGUCAAAAUAUAUAUGUAUCUAGACAUGUUUUAGUAUAUAGGUACAUCCAUUUUUGGACAGAUGGAAGUCAAGUAUUUUGGAAUGGAGGGAGUACACA
rfam:Triticum aestivum genome assembly, contig: Triticum_aestivum_CS42_TGACv1_scaffold_129286_2BL